ACAAUUCAUUCCUAAAUCUUAAUUUAAUUUGUCAUUUAAAAUUGUUAUGAAAUCUUUUUGGAGACUGCAAUCCUGAAAUGGAAUUUAAGAAUACAAGUAAAGAAAAAAAUCUUGUAAUCCUUGAGCUCAAAAGUAAAAAUAAGGAUUACUUUCAAGAGACUAAAAUCGGUAUUCGCAUUUAAUAAAUAGUUUUCACUUGAACUUUAAUCCGUUAAUGUACAGAAAGUAAGGUGACCUUCAAUUUAAAAAAAUAAUUUUGUUCAAUCAUGCGUCGAUAACCGUUUCGAUAAUUUAACAAUUUUGUGCCUAUUUCAUUGGAAUGUCUAAAAAUUACUUCAUUUUUGAAAAAAAAUCUAAUAAAAAAGGAGAAUUAAAGUUUUCACACGAAUUAUAAUUUUUGUGAUUCAGAAAUCCUUAGAAAAUAAUACUCUAUAUCCGAAUAUAUUUGACGAAAUAGCAUUUAGAAAAAGUCUGUGGAAACCAAAGUUAUGGUUUAGUUAUGUGGAUGGAAAAGAGAGUUCCUAAACCACCUAACAAUGAAAAUCUGGUUCUAGCUUUAAUCGGGUUUAACGGCUAAAUUCUAGGUCUAGUGUUAGUUGUAGUAUGUUAAAAUCGUUGACUAUAAAGGGGCUAAGAAGAUAUCCCCAAGGGGGAGUGCUAUCACCUCUAUUAUGGUGCCUGGUAGUUGAUGGAUGACUUGAUGAACACCCUAACAAAAAACGGAUUCAAGAUUCAGGGAUAUGCUGAUGACCUCGUAAUCACAAUCCGAGAUAAAUAUGAUACAAUCAUAACUCAACUAAUGCAGAAAGCAGCUGGUGAGUAGUAGUCACCAGUACUUGGUGUAGAAGCAAUGGGCUCAGCAUCAAUCCAAAUAAAGUCGAAAUAGUCCCUUUAAUCGGAGAAGGAAGCUACAAAUAAAACUGAAAGCAGAACUAAUAAUCUCAAAACAGAAAUUAAAUACCUAGGGGUAAUACUAGACAGUAAACUAAACUGGAACUCACACUAGUACGACCAACCCAAUAUGGACGGUCAAGCAUCGCGAUCGUUUUGAAAGGUACACUCAGAACAAAAAUUUCGUGACGCUUAAUUGAAAAGUUUGACAUUUAUAUUUAUAAUGUGGACAAUUGUGAAUGCGAGGUUAUGAGUGUUGCAUUUUAGAUUAUAAAAUAAAGGCUUUUUGUUUAGUUAUUAAUAUUUGAUUUUAUGUCGACAUAUACAAAACAAUAUUAUACUCUACAUACAUAUUUAUUGAUUACAUUAUAACAUAAAAUAUAUUUGUGGUAUUUCAAAUUGUUCUCUCGGAUUUCCCUGUCAUUGCUGCCACACGACUUAUAACCUGGUCAACACAAAAUGUAUAUCUUCCUGCCGCCUUUUCAUUCUCGCAAAAUGUGAUAAUAUUCUGCAGUAUUGUGAGCGCUUCGCUCUGCUCGGAUUUUCUCUUGGGCAUGUUUGUAAUAUACGUAUCUAAUUGUGAAAAUAAAUUAUAUACAUACAUAUCUGACACCUAUUAAAAUUAAUAUUACUGACCUGAAAAUCAGAUGAGAAGGGCUUUUGCUCUGAAAAGAACAGUUAAUAGAUAAACGAAAUAGAACGAUAAUAGAAAAUAAACUCGAUAAACUCACAAAACCGUAAUCUAACUCAAGCAACGCUGUCUAAGAAAUGAAAUGUCAGAAAUAUAUCAAAUACAUAUUGUUUUAUUUGGUAAUUUGACUGUACUACAGCCAAAUAUAUAGGUCAAGGAGGUGAGGGGUAAGACGUUUCCGAUAAUAGUUCGCAUAUUUUCCGCCGGCCAAAUCCAACUGGUCGCACUAUAGAUAAGGCAAACCAGAUCUGCCGCAGGCUGCUAGGAAGGAACCACGAAUGGGUCAUUGGGCCUUCGUAGCAAUAAUCAGACCCAUGGUCGCCUAGGCUUCAUUGGUUUGGUGACCAAAAACCAAACAUAAGACAGCACAACAACAGCUGGGACAAAUCUAGCGGUUAGCAUAUCUUAACAUAACGGGUGCAAUGAGAUCCUGUCCGACGGCUGCUUUCGAAGCCCUACUCGGUCUCACACUGCUCUCCAUUUAUAUAUACUGUAUUAUUUUGUUUUGUUCGAAUUAAUUAAUUAUAUAAACCAAAUUUUUUAUACAUAAAUUACACAGAAAACAUAUAACAAUUAUUUAAUUGGAUUAUUAUAAGGAUCUUUUAAGAUUGAUUUUUUUUAAUUUUAAUCGCGAGGGUUAUAAAAAUUAAAGACUUCGAUAAAAGGAAAUUAAGUUCACUUAACUUGUUUCCGGAGGCGUGACAUGUCAGUUAAAAAUGGUUGGUUGACCUGGGUCUUGCGGGAUGGAUGUUCUUCGGUGUUAGAAGUUUAGGAUUCUCGGGAAAUUUAGUUCUCGGGUCCUUCGGGAACAGGAUUGAACAUUGGACUCGAUCUCAGGUAUGGUUUCGAUUUCUUCGCAGAUAAUUUAGAAACACUUGUUUACUUUUACUUGAUAAAGAAAAUUGAGUUAUCAAAAAAAAAAUUCUAAGUUCAAACUUAGGUUAGAAAUUUUUAGGUUAAAUUGACGUAGAUUCGACAACGCUUCGCUCUAGCCAAAAUUGAACUCUCUAGGUGUCAAAUUUGCGCGGCCUUAUAUACCCUUUUUGGACAAAGGCUUCUUGGAUAUCCGAAUUUGGUCGCCUCAGUUUGAAUCUGGGCUCUCUGAUUGGUUGAUAAAAUGGCGGGAAUUAUAAAUUACACAGAUAAUCGCGCUUUCGGGUGUCAAAUUCCUUCGAGAAAUUCGUAAUUUGAUGUUAAAGUUUGGAAA